rnacentral:rRNA from 1 species
UACGAAGGGGGCUAGCGUUGUUCGGAAUCACUGGGCGUAAAGAGAGUGUAGGCGGAUUAUUAAGUCAGAAGUGAAAGCCCAAGGCUCAACCUUGGAAUUGCUUUUGAUACUGGUAAUCUAGAGUUUGGAAGAGGAGUGUGGAAUUCCGAGUGUAAGGGUGAAAUCUGUAGAUAUUCGGAGGAACACCAGUGGCGAAGGCGGCACUCUGGUACAUAACUGACGCUGAGACUCGAAAGCGUGGGGAGCAAACAGG